rnacentral:lncRNA from 10 species
ACCCAUUCCUUAUGUAUAUGAAGAGCUGACAGAAAAUGACUUCCUCAUUCUUCACCUAAGCAAAAGAGCAUCUACACCUGAAGAGACCACUUGCCCUUCACUGACAUUAAAUUUCAUCCUACUGACUCUGACCUAUCUCCUUAGGCUGUUGGGCUUAUUUUUUGAACAUUGUAUUAUGAAAUUUUCAAACAUACAAAAAAGUUGGAAAAAAAGUACAAUGAAAACCUGUAUACUCACCACCUAGACCUUACAAUUUAUGUUUUACUAUAGUUUCCUUAUCACAUGUACAUCUAUCCUUCCACCUGUCUAUCAAUCCAUCUUGUCUUUUGAUGACUUUCAAAGUAAGUUAUAGACAUCAGUACACUUUCCCUGCCCCCCUCAAACAUUUCAACAUGCACACAUUGGCUAAAGUUCAAUAUUUGCUUAUGCUUUUUAGGUGUAUACAGAGCUCUAACUGUCCUGUUCCAUCCAAAGGGGGAAAACCAAGAAGCACUUGUGAAGUUAACAUUUCAGAGACAGAGGAUCACUAAAAGGCUGAGACCUAAUCAUAGGACUGUGAUCACUUUUCUGUCCUUUGCCACCUUACUACGACAUUACUAUAGGGCCUACUAACUGCAGUUCCUCUUACCCAGUACCUCAUGUCUGAUGUCAAGAAAAAAAUUACAAGUCAUACUAAAAGGCAAAACACAAAGUUUGAAGAAAAAGAGCAAGCAUCAGACCCAGACUCAGAUAUGGCAGGAGUGUUAGAUUUAUCAGACUGGGAAUUUAAAACAACUAUAACUAAUAUACUAAGGGCUCUAAUGAAUAAAGUAGACAGCAUGCAAGAACCCGCGAAGCAGAGAGAUGGAAAUCCUAAGAAAGAAUAAAAAGAAAAGCUAGAGAUGAGAAACACUGUCCUAGUGAUGAAAAAUACCUUUGAUAGGCCCAUGAGUGUAAUGGACAUGGCUGAAGAGAGAAUCUCUAAGCUUGAGGAUAUAUCAAUAGAAACUUCCAGGACAGAAAAGCAAAGAACAAAGAGACUGAAAAAGUGAAACAGACUAUUCAAGAACUGUGCGACAACUAUGAAAAAAAUAACAUACACAUAAUGGGGAUGCAAGAAAGAGAAGAGAAACAAAGAGAAGAGAAAGAAACAAAAAAUAUUUAAAACAAUAAUAGCUUGAGCAACAUAGGGAGACCCCAUCUCUACAAGAAAAUUAAAAAAUUAGGGGUGCAUGGUGCACACCUCUGGUCCCAUCUACUCAGUGGGGUGAGGUGAAAGGAUCAUGUAAGCCCGGGAGGUCAAAUCUGCAGUGAGCCAUGAUUGCACCACUGCACUCCAGCCUGGGUGACAGAGUGAGACCCUGUCUCAAAAAAUAAAUAGAUGUGGUGGCACACACCUGUAGUCCCAGGUACUUGGGAGGCUGAGGCAGGAGGAUUGCUUGAGUCUGUACAGGAGUUCUGGGCUGUAGUGCACUAUGCCGAUUGGGUGUCUGCACUAAGUUUGGCAUUAGUAUGGUGACCUCCAGGGAAUGGGGGAACACCAGGUUGCCUAAGGAGGGGAGAACUGGCCCAGGUCAGAAAUGGUGCAGGUCAAAAUUCCCUUGCUGACCACACCUGUGAAAGGCCACUGCACUCCAGCCUGACCAACACAGCGAGACCCCACCUUUUAAAUAAAUAAAUAAAUAAAGAAUAAUGACAGAGAUUUUCACCAAAUUAAUAUCAGGCACCAAACCAUAGAUCCAGGAAGCUCUGUGAACACCAACAAGAAUAAAUGACAAAAAAUUCCACCCAGGUAUAGCAUAUUCAAACUAGAAAUCAAAGAUAAAUAAAACACUACUGGAGGCCAAGGCAGGUUGAUCAGAGGUCAAGGUGGGUGUAUCACUUGAGGUCAGGAGUUCGAGCCAGCCUGGCCAACAUGGCAAAACCUCAUCACUACCAAAAACACAAAAAUUAGCUGGAUGUAAUGGUGGGCGCCUGUAAUCCCAGCUACUUGGGAGGCUGAGACAGGAGAAUCGCUUGAACCCAGGAGGUGAAGGUUGCAAGGUUGCAGUGAGCUGACAUUGCACCACUGCACUGCAGCGUGGUGAAAAAGCGAGACUCUGUUCCAAACAAACCAAGAAACAAACAAACAAAAACUAUUGAAAGAAGCCAGAGGAAAAAGCCACCUUACCUAUAGGGAGCAAAGAUAAGGAUAACAUCUGCCUUCUCCUCAGAAAC